AUGAUGUGCCGUGUCCAGUUUAUAUUUCUGCUAAUUUUGUGCAUCUCAGGAACCAGUGGUGAUGCUGUGAUGACCCAGACUCCACUCUCUUUAUCAGUUACCAUUGGACAAUCAGCCUCCAUCUCUUGUCGGUCAAGUCAGAGUCUCUUAAGUAGUGAUGGAAAUACCUAUUUGAUUUGGCUCCUACAGAGGCCAGGCCAGUCUCCACAGAACCUAAUCUAUUUGGUGUCCAAAGGUAACUCUGGAGUCCCUGACAGGUUCAGUGGCAGUGGGUCAGGGACAGAUUUCACUCUCAAAAUCAGCAAAGUAGAGGCUGAGGAUUUGGGAGUUUAUUACUGCUUUCAGCAUACAUAUGCUCCUCCCACAGUGAUACAGAACCUAACAAUAACUUUGCUCAGAGAGGCCCAGUUGCAAUGUGCUGCUUGA